UACUUUUCUGAAGAGGAUAAUAAAUUGCCACCAUAUCGCAGGGGCUCGUCUUGGGACUACGAACAGAACGUGUCUGUUAGGAGAGCCACAUGUUCCAUGGAGCAGGCUGAUCAUUUCCCAGCGCCUGCGGGCUGCCAGCUGGCUUUUCUAAGUCGUUCCUAGCUGCAGUGAGGAAAUGUCAGGUGACUUGUGUGACUCUCGUGUUAACAGCACCAUAGAAAAGCGUCCUCAGGGUGCACUGGGGGAAGGGAAGGAUGUGGACGGACUAGGUUGCUGCACAAGUCUCAUGACUGACAUCACGACAGCUGCAAAGGUUUGCUUGUGACACGUGGAAGGGUUUCUCCGGAAGGGAAGCCACUGAAAUGGACCAAAUGCUGUGUGCGGAUUAUGGCCCAACCCGAAGACACCAGUUUCCGGGAAGCCUUUCGACUCCUCGGGAACCGCCACAGACCGUUCCGAGCUGGUUCCCACAGGUUGCUAGAGAAGUCCGAUCUCCGUCUUUGAUGGAGUCGUAACACGAGUCACACACUCGAACCUGGAACUCGAAGCCCAUGACCGGGCAACUGGAACGCUUGCUGCUGCACACGGCCUGCCGGCACUUCCGGCAGUGAUGCUGUCUCAAGCCCAGUGUCUUCGUGUCCCACAUCUGCUUUAUAUUCCAGAAAAAGGGCUGCUCGCAUUUCUGACAGGAAUCACUUUCCAACCACUGAGGAGCCUCCUCUCUGCUCACGUCCAUGUUCCACAUUGCAAUUCCGCCAUCCGAGGAGCAGGAGACGAGCUGCCUUGUGAGCUGAAGGUGACACAGUGACUGCACUCUGCCAUGGUGGCCCUGAAGCAAGAGCGUCCGGCCUUUCCUGCCUCCGAUGUCCCACAUGAUGAUGCUGUUGUCAGAUGCUCCCGAGAAGAGUAGCCGCUGAAUAGGGUCCCACCAGUGGCAGGCAACACUACCUUCGUGUCCUUUGAGGGUUGUGAUAACCGAACACGUGCUCUGCUCAAGCUUCAGCAAGGUGAUCUGUCCAGAAUAAUCACCAACAAAAGCGUACUGAGUAUCAAAGUCGUAUUGGAGACACGAGGCCCAGGAGGAGAAGAGGUGCCGGCCCAGCAUGCUCCUGCUCCACGCCCACAUCCAGCUCAAGCACGAGUUGUGGCCAGUGCUGAUCACCCACUCGGUGGCCGCGCUGAAGAUGAUGGCAGACACCCUGUUCUGGUGAGCUGGACAGGAAGAAAUAUACUGCACUUCCAAAGGGGUGAGGAGGAUCAGGAUAAGGGGAACCAAGCAGAGAAAGAACCCUUUUCCAAUAUAGAAAGUGGGGACCCCGCGAUAGGCUUCCAGGAGAACACUCCUGUGAGCGUGAUCCAUUUGUCUGAGGUCACCGGGGUCUCAUCCUGUGCAGAGGCAGGAGGGACUGUGCCUUCCACUACCUUAUUUGUGUCAUCUUAAAGUACUGAGUCGGCAUGAAGAGUUUCACCUAAAAUUAAAGUGGCUCAUCUCUGUUAAUUGAGCUUUUGUAUAAAGUUCCUGGAAUUCAUCUUCCCUCCUGACUGAUAUAACUUUGGAUUCCGUGGAUUAUGAAGUCUACUUAAUUCCUGAGGAGAAUAAGGAGAUUGAGUCAGCAGUCACUUCUACAUAAAUCUUCAAACUUCUGUUGAGCCAAAGGAUAAAUUUUAAAUCUCUCCAUUUUUCAGAUUCUCAGAGGUAACAAAAGGCAGACCUAAGUUUUUCCUGGGCCAUUUGUCUUCAUUCUGUUCACUGUAUUCUGCUGCAUAACUAAGCGGACUUGUAGCUCCAGCCCUGCCUGCCUGAGAUGCUCAGUUGAUACCAGCUAUGCCCAUUCCUGAUCCAAGGCUGAUGAAGAAUGUUACUACCACCCAGUGAGAAACCAUGAAGAGACAGCUCUCAGCAAAGAAUCAGUUGAACACUUAUAUUGUCCAGCUUUUUUGUGAUGGUGGUAGGUUUUUCUUGAGCUACCCAAACCUUUCCACAUCAACAUCCUGGAUUUAUGUUGGCAAUAAAGCAGCUUUCUGGGGUUUUAGCUAUUCCUCAGCUCAAAGCAUGCAGAGCACAUGUACACCAAAGAGUUAUAGAUGCAUCUGAGCAGUGUGAAUUACUCUCAGAUAUCACCAUAGAAUACAAAUGAGCCAUGGCACUGAAUCAAAAAAUCAUGAAUAAACUUUUAAACUGUAUUUGACAAUGAA
rnacentral:lncRNA from 1 species